AAACUAACAAGGAUUCCCCUAGUAACGGCGAGUGAACCGGGAAGAGCUCAAAUUUGAAAUCUGGCGUCCUCAGGGCGUCCGAGUUGUAAUCUAUAGAGGCGUUUUCCGUGCCGGACCGUGUCCAAGUCCCUUGGAACAGGGUAUCAAAGAGGGUGACAAUCCCGUACUUGACACGACGACCGGUGCUCUGUGAUACGUCUUCUACGAGUCGAGUUGUUUGGGAAUGCAGCUCAAAAUGGGUGGUGAGUUCCAUCUAAAGCUAAAUAUUGGCGAGAGACCGAUAGCGAACAAGUACCGUGAGGGAAAGAUGAAAAGCACUUUGGAAAGAGAGUUAAACAGUACGUGAAAUUGUUGAAAGGGAAACGAUUGAAGUCAGUCGUGACCGAGAGGCUCAGCCGGUUCUGCCGGUGUAUUCCCCUCGGUCGGGUCAACAUCAGUUUUGUCCGGUGGAUAAGGGCGGUAGGAAGGUGGCACCCUCGGGUGUGUUAUAGCCUGCCGUCGCAUACACCGGGUGAGACUGAGGAUCGCAGCUCGCCUUUAUGGCCGGGGCCCGCCCACGUACGAGCUUAGGAUGUUGACAUAAUGGCUUUAAACGACC
rnacentral:rRNA from 1 species